rnacentral:lncRNA from 1 species
UGAAAAAAAUUCUCUUGCUUCCUUUUUUCUAUUGGUUAAUGAUGUUUUUAACUUUUCUUAAUGCAUUGAUAUUGGUUGUUCAACAUUAUAAACAACCUCAAUGGGUUACUGAUAUAAAAGGUGUAUCGCAAUUAGUUUUUAUGGUGUUUUUUUUGUUGGAAGUCAUCUUAAAGUUGUACGCACUUGGUUUACAGUUGUAUUUUGCUAAACUGUCUGAUAAGUUUGAAUUUGUGGUUGUGACUUUAUGGCUUAUGGAUUU